UGGACAGGGGUGGCCCUGGGGGGCUCCAAGGCGUGCGCACAGUACUUCAGUGAAAGGGACACCUGCACCCGGCCCAUUCUCAUGGUGACCCUCUUCCAGCGUUUCAGCGGAAGGUCCAGCUAUAACACACACAGAAGAGGAGUCCAAAUGUGAACAGGCAGGUUUACCUCUAUAGAGUCCGAAUCCGAAAAGGCAGGUUUACCUCUAUAGAGUCCGAAUCCGAAAAGGCAGGUUUACCUCUAUAGAGUCCGAACACGAAAAGGCAGGUUUACCUCUAUAGAGUCCGAACACGAAAAGGCAGGUUUACCUCUAUAGAGUCCGAACACGAAAAGGCAGGUUUACCUCUAUAGAGUCCGAAUCUGAAAAGGCAGGUUUACCUCUAUAGAGUCCGAAUCUGAAAAGGCAGGUUUACCUCUAUAGAGUCCGAAUCUGAAAAGGCAGGUUUACCUCUAUAGAGUCCGAAUCUGAAAAGGCAGGUUUACCUCUAUAGAGUCCGAAUCCGAAAAGGCAGGUUUACCUCUAUAGAGUCCGAAUCCGAAAAGGCAGGUUUACCUCUAUAGAGUCCGAAUCCGAAAAGGCAGGUUUACCUCUAUAGAGUCCGAAUCCGAAAAGGCAGGUUUACCUCUAUAGAGUCCGAAUCCGAAAAGGCAGGUUUACCUCUAUAGAGU